rnacentral:rRNA from 1 species
GGAAUCUUCGGCAAUGGACGAAAGUCUGACCGAGCAACGCCGCGUGAGUGAAGAAGGUUUUCGGAUCGUAAAACUCUGUUGGUAGAGAAGAACGUUGGUGAGAGUGGAAAGCUCAUCAAGUGACGGUAACUACCCAGAAAGGGACGGCUAACUACGUACCAG